GAGAGCUUUCCCUAAAGAUAUGAUCAUGAUAAGAAAAAAUUGUGGAAAAAAGAACGGCAAUUAAAAAAAAUCGGAUUGAAACGUGGCCAAAAGAUUGAGAUCUGUUUGUUGUGCAUACAUCGACCUGAAUGCAUACGUUCCGAUAUCAGUCAGAUCCUGUGCAUACACAUAACCUCGAAGAAAAAUUAUGUCACGCUUCGAUGUCAUUUCUCUCUGAUCUGAUGAUAUAUUUCAUCAGAUGAAAAAUUUUAUACUUACAGAUUUUAUGCAGCAAGUUCUAUAGCAGAUUUUUUUACAAAUAUAAAUGAGACAUGAUCUCUUAUUAAUUUUAAUUAAAUUAUGUUAGACUUGACAAUUUCAAUUAAGUAAAAUUUAUGACUACGUAAUCAAAAGAAUUGAAUUUAAAAAAGUCGAAAAUAUACUCCAUUUGUAUAUUCGUAAAAUAUAGCAGGUUCGUAUCCGUAAUUUUGCACGACUCCAUUCACGAAAACAAGCAAGGGACUUUUACGACUUCAUUCAUGGCCUGAGGAUCCCUUGAACUGAUCCAACAGCCGAUGGAAGACGAGUCGUAUUUUUACACCCUUCGCUUAACCCUGAAGUGCCUCCUAUUUUUACACCCGAACGAUUAUAUACUCUUGAACAUUCAAUUGUAAACGGAUAACAAGGGUGUAAUUUCACUCUAAGAAUUGCAUCGAAACCCUUUACCACUGUUCUCUCUCUCUUUAAUUAUGUUCAAAACAAACGCCGCCAAAUAAAUAAUGAUUGGUUUCGAUCGAUAUUCAUUUUGUUUG